GGUAUCGCCUGCCCAGUGACACAUGUUUAACGGCCGCGGUAUUCUAACCGUGCAAAGGUAGCGUAAUCACUUGUCUUCUAAAUAAAGACUCGUAUGAAUGGCUAAAUGAGGAUAACACUGUCUCCUGUGACCAAUCAGUGAAACUGAUCUCCCAGUACAAAAGCUGGGAUAACCACAUAAGACGAGAAGACCCUGUGGAGCUUCAAACAAACUACUACCAAACAACAAACUGUAACUAGUAUUAUGUUUUAAGUUGGGGCGACUUCGGAACAAAAGAAAACUUCCGAGCACAAGACCACAAAUCUUGUUGCGGCCAACAAGCCAAAACAUAUUAAACAUGACCCAGUCAGACUGAUCAACGAACCAAGUUACCCCAGGGAUAACAGCGCAAUCUUCUUCAAGAGUCCAUAUCGACAAGAAGGUUUACGACCUCGAUGUUGGAUCAGGACACCCAAAUGGUGCAGCCGCUAUUAAAGGUUCGUUUGUUCAACGAUU
rnacentral:rRNA from 1 species